rnacentral:rRNA from 1 species
CGGGAAAAGCUCAAAUUUAAAAUCUGGUGUCCUCUGGUCACCCGAGUUGUAGUCUAGAGAGGCGCUUUCUGUGCUGGACCAUGUAAAAGUCUCUUGGAACAGAGCAUCAUAGAGGGUGAGAAUCCCGUCUUUGACAUGGACUACCAGUGCUUUGUG